UACGGGGGGGGCAAGCGUUGUUCGGAAUUACUGGGCGUAAAGGGCUCGUAGGUUGCCAACUAAGUCAGACGUGAAAUCCCUCGGCUUAACCGGGGAACUGCGUCUGAUACUGGAUGGCUUGAGUUCGGGAGAGGGAUGCGGAAUUCCUGGUGUAGCGGUGAAAUGCGCAGAUAUCAGGAGGAACACCGGUGGCGAAGGCGGGUCUCUGGGCCGAUACUGACGCUGAGGAGCGAAAGCGUGGGGAGCGAACAGG
rnacentral:rRNA from 1 species